ensembl:lncRNA
GAAAAUCUAAGGGUUUUCUUUCUUCUGAAUUUUUUGGUUCUUCACUGCAUAAACGUGGGAGAAAUGGUUCUAAUCAAAAUCCUCAUCCAAGGUAAGGAGCAGCGGCUGCGCUUUGCUGGAGCAGCCGUGAAGAGAUACCCCACAUCCAAGAUAAGAGAAACUCAAGUAAGACGACUAGAGAGUGACGGGAUGAGACAAAAAAGGAGAAACACCACAAGGGCUCCACUUGCAGGUUUGAAGGGAGAUGGAAGAUCCCUGUUUGCUGGUUCCCCUCUCUUCCUGGAGGAUCUUCGCCUAACAACAGAGCACCCUCCUCUGGCCACUUGCCAAAAG